rnacentral:rRNA from 1 species
UUGACCUCGGAUCAGGCAGG